GUUAUAUCACUAUAAGUUACUUCUUCAUGUCAAACGACAUUAGGUGCGUUAAAAAUAGGAGUAGAGGGCAAAAGCAUUUUCUCAUCCUGAGAAUAGAGGGAUUAGCGGAUACUUUACCCAACCCUUUAGCCUAUUGAAUUUCUAUUAUCGAACUUGGACUGAAAAUACCCAAAGGGGUCUAUCUAUACGCUGGCCCAACUUGCGCCCACAUCCACUACUUUAUCCUUUUUGUUACUAGAUAGGCCCAUUGUGGAUGUGGCCAACUUGUAUCCACAACUUUAUCCUUUUUUUUACUAGAUGCUACACAAGAGCCAUUUUUGGGCUCAUCGUUGGAUCUCCCACUUCCGGAUGAUUUGAAACAGUAAAAAUCUUUGGGCAUACCUCUAUUACAUGACCAUACCACCUGCAACAAAAGCACACCACUAGAAGGGAUUCAAACUCAACUCGUUGAAUAUUUUCGUUGAUCAGUACCUAGAAGACUAAAGGUUUACAUAGACUACCAUGCUAGAAAAUUUCCCUCUUAUUCCACUAUUAGUGUUAAAGUCCAUCUUUAUAACUUUAUCAAUAGUUCCCUUGAUCUCUUCAAGGAUCCUAUGUUUAUAAAUAAAUCCGAGAGACCUGAGAGUCUAAUCCAUUCCUUCACAACACUCAGAUAAGGUUGCAUCAGAUUAAAGUCCGUAGUCCAAGACUGCACUGUAAGGUAUUGCCUAUAAAUGAUCCAUGAACCUUGAGAUAAAACUUUUUCAAAAUCAUCCUUAUUCUGGAAUUUUGCUAGAAAAUAUCCAUUUUCUAUAUCCAUUAACUAAAAUGGAGAUGAGGGUCCCCAAAGACUAUUGAUUUUGUUUUGUAGGGUUGCAUAUUCGAUGGAUUGUCCUAAGAGCUUAAAGACCACCGUGGUGAUCAUGUUUUUAAUCAACAAUUAAUUAAAUCUUUCACAAAAGUUAAUCGCAGGAAUUCCAUUCACAAUAGAUCCUGUCCAACAAUUUGAUCUCUUCAUCAUCUCCAAAAUCAGAAUGAUUUUCUGAUGCCCUAGCUCCACCUGCUAAACCACCCAAUAGUUUGUCUUUUAGAAAAGUGUUGACUUGGGUUCCAAAUCCACUGCCAUAUCGAUGGCCCCAUCUAUAUUUGAGUCAUUGAAUCUCACUUUUUUGGUUGAUCAAUCUUUACAAAAUUCAAAAUUUUCACCACUCACCAUGAUCGAUAACGAAUGUCUUUAUAGAAUUUGAAGAAUUUUUCCAGAUUGUUACUAAACUCACUUCACUUUUAGUGUACAAUACUUGAUGUGUAGUUUCUCUAUAUGAUGAAAUUUGAACCUAAGUCAAUUGAAUUAGUAAAACCUUAAAUUUACCAUUCAAUCAAAACUUCUUUUUUAUAGUUUUACAAAUUUUUAUUUUAAUAUGUACAUUUUAUUAUCUUUGCCAAUUAAGAAUAAUACUAUUGAUUGAGUUGGUAUUACGAGUCAACUCAUUACCAACUAAUUCAAAGAAAUCACUUUAAUGCCAUUUUUAAAAAAUGAUGGAAUAUAUUAAUAUAUGUUAUAAAUAAAUGUGAAUGUCCAUAUUCUAACCCCCCAUCAUUUAUGAGGUAAAACCUCCCAUUCAUUAUGCAAUGUUUACUAUAUGCGUUAAUGAAGCACUUAAGUAAGCUUCAUUUAUGGUAUUGCAUUGAAUAUUAAUUACUUAUAAAUUAUAAAUAGAAUCCUUACUUUAGUAAAAUAAAAAAAAGGAGAAAAUUCCUCUUAUAUUUUCAUCCACUUUUAUUUAUUGUUUUAUUAAUUUUUCUAUAACAGGUUAUCAGCACGAGCUUCUACAAGUUCAUAGUGAAGUUCACGUCAUUUCGACUUUAUAUAAUUUGCCCAUAUAACUCUCGCUAAACUAUAUACGGUAUACGUAUUUUCAUAAUUCUUUUAUUUUAUUUUCUAGAUGAAAUUUUUGCUUUGGGUAACUUUUGCACAUUUAUUUUUACAACUAAAAUCUAAUAAUGAUAAUUAUAUAUACAUUUUUUAUUAAAAGAAAUUUCAAUUAAUUUAAUUUGUGUUAAGUUAUUAUUAUGAAUAUUCCUUUUUAUGCCAAUAUUUGACAUACAUAUUAUUAUUUAGCAAAUUUGGUAUAUAUAAUUGAAUUAUUUUACGAUUGAGAAUACUUAUUAUUUUACUAAUAUUUUUUUAUUUUGAUUAAAGUGAUUAUAAUGUCAAAUCUUGCCAAACUUGAAUUUUCAGCCUUAGACAUCUCAGGCAAGAAUUAUUUGUCAUGGGUGUUAGAUGUUGAAAUUCACCUAGAUGCUAAAGGUCUAGGAAAUACUACAUUAGCGUAUAAAGAAACAUUUAAUCAAGACAAGGCAAAAGCAAUGAUUUUCAUCUGUCAUCAUCUACAUGAAGGAUUAAAAUUGGAAUGUCUCAUUAUGAAAGACCCUCUUGAGUUGUGAAAAAAAUUUGAAAGAAUGAUUUGACCAUAAGAAAACUGUGAUACUCUUUAAAGCUCGUUAUGAUUGGAUGCACUUACGGUUGUAAGAUUUUAAGACUGUAAGUGAAUACAAUUCAGAACUUUUCAAAAUUAGUUCUCAACUAAAAUUAUGUGGAGAAAACAUAACUGAUGAGGACUUGUUAGAGAAAACAUUUUCAACCUUUCAAGCUACUAAUGUGCUCAUACAGCAGCAAUACCGUGAAAAAGAUUUUAAAAUGUAUUCUGAAUUGAUUUCAUGCCUUUUGGUGGUUAAACAAAAUAAUGAAUUGUUGAUGAAAAAUCAUGGAAUUCGUCCUACUAGUUCUGCAUCAUUCCAUGAAGUGAAUGUAGUAGUGCAAAAUAAUUAUGAAAAUAAAAAAUAUAGAGGUCGCGGCCGUGGUCAUGGACGUAGUAGGGGACGUGGUCGAGGACGUAUUAGUAAUCGUUAUCAUAGUGGUCAUAACAAUGAUACUUCUAACCACCAGAAAAAGAAUAACAAUGAAAGACAAGAAAGAAGCGGUCAAAAUAAUCCUUCAAAGAUUGUUGAGAAUAUAUGCUAUUGAUGUGGUAUAAAGGGGCAUUGGUCACGUACCUGUCGUACGUCUGAUCAUUUAGUGAAACUUUAUCAAGCACCUAUUAAAAGGAAGGGAAAGAAUAUGAAGACAAAUUUUAUAUCCCAAAAUGAUGAAAUUGAGGCAAAAGAUGAAGAUAUUCACUAUAAUACUAAAACUGACCAUGCCUACAAGGGUGAUAAAUUUAAUGACCUUAAUAAUAUAACUCACCUAGAUGUGGCAGAUUUCUUUGAGAAUCAUUAGAAAAAUUGAUGUUAUUUUGACAUUUUUAUGUUGUUUUAAGUAUAUUUUAUUUUCUUGCUUAAAGAAUAAUUUAUAUAUUUAAUAAAUAUUUGCAAUAUUUCUCAUAUUAUAUUUUGUUUGUUUUUAUGAAGAAUAUGAAUAUUCAACAAAAUUUUGAUGGACCCAAAAUCAAUGGAGACAUGUGUAUUGUAGAUAGUGCUACAAUACAUACGAUACUCAAAGAUAAAAAAAUAUUUUUCUCAUUUGACAAUGAGUAAUGCCCAUGUUAAUUCAAUAUCGGGUAGUUCAAAACUUAUUGAAGGCUCUGGAAGAGCUAUUAUAUUAUUAUCCUAAAGGUACAAAAUUUUUCAUUGAUGAUGCUUUAUAUUCCAAUAAGUCUCAAAGAAAUUUAUUGAGUUUUAAAGAUAUUCGUCUUAAUGGAUACCAUAUUGAGACUAUGAAUGAGAAAAAUGUUGAAUACAUAUAUAUAUAUUACAAAUGUUGAAUGUGGAAAGAAAUUUGUUUUGGAGAGGCUACCUGCUUUUUCAUCAGGUUUAUAUUAUACACAUAUUAGUGCAAUUGAGUCACAUGUUACUACAAACCAGAAGUUUGUAGAACCACAUACUUUUACUAUUUGGCAUGACCGAUUAGGCCAUCCCAGAUCUAUUAUGAUGUGAAGAAUCAUUGAGAAUUCAAUUGGACACCCGUUAAAGAACCAAAAGAUUAUUGAAUUCAAGGAUUUAUCUUGUGUCGCUUGUUCUCAAGGAAAAUUGAUUAUUAGACCAUCACCAGCUAAAGUUGGGAUUGAAUCUCCCACAUUUCUAGAACGUAUUCAAGGUGAUAUAUGUGGGCUCAUUCAUCCACCAUGUGGACCAUUCAGACAUUUUAUGGUAUUAAUAGAUGCAUCUAGUAGGUGGUCACAUGUGUGUUUAUUAUCGACUCGUAACCUAGUGUUUGCGAGACUACUUGCUCAAAUAAUUUGAUUAAGAGCACAAUUUCCAGAUUAUGCAAUCAAAACUAUUCAUCUUGAUAAUGCUGGUGAGUUUACAUCCGAAGCUUUUAAUGAUUAUUGUAUGUCAAUUGGGAUAAAAGUUGAACAUAUUGUAGCUCAUGUUCAUACACAAAAUGAUUUAGCUGAAUCGUUUAUCAAACGCCUCCAACUAAUAGCUCGGCCAUUGCUCAUGAGAACAAAACUCCCUACUACAGCUUGGGGAUAUGCUAUUUUACAUCCAGCAGCACUUGUACGCUUAAGGCCAAUAAGUUAUAAUAAGUACUCUCCAUUACAAUUGGCUUUUGGUCAGGAGCCAAAUAUUUCCCAUCUUAGAAUUUUCGGAUGUGCAGUAUAUGUUUCAAUUGCUCCUCCACAAUGCACAAAGAUGGGUCCUCAAAGGAGGUUAGGAAUAUAUGUUAGUUAUGAAUCUCCUUCUAUAAUUAAAUAUGUUGAACCAUUAACUAGAGAUUUAUUUACUGCAAGAUUUAUUGAUUGUCAUUUUGAUGAAACAACAUUCCCAACAUUAGGGGAAGAGAAAAUACAACUAGUAAAAGAAAUUACAUGGAAUGGAUCAUCAUUAUCUCAAUUAGAUCCUCGUACAAGUUAAUGUGAACAAGAAGUUCAAAGGAUUAUACAUUUGCAAAACAUUGCCAAUCAACUGCCAGAUUCAUUUAUUGGCCUAAAGAGAGUUACAAAAUCUCACAUACCAGUUGAAAAUGCUCCAAUACGAAUUGAUAUCCUAAUAAGACAAAUUGUUAGUGCAAAAGAAAGUAAUCCACGCCUGAAGCAUGGAAGGCCAAUCGGUUCCAAAGAUAUAAAUCCUUGUAAAAGGAAAGGAGCAAUUAUUCAAUAUGGUAAUAUUGUGAAGGCAAAUGCCCCAGAAGAGGCCAAAGAUAUAACUAAUCAAAAAACCCCAGAAGAGGUUCAGGUACCUGAAAAUGGUGAUAACUAAGAAAUCUCAAUAAGUUAUGUUACUUCAAGAAAAAUAUGGAACCGAAAAAAUAUAGUUGCCGAGAACAAUUUUGCUUAGAAUGUUGCUACUGAAAUAGCAAAAGAAAAUGAGGAUCCUAAGCCUAAAUCUAUUGAGGAAUGUAGAAAUACAAAAGAUUGGCCAAAAUAGAAAGACGCAAUUCAAGCAGAAUUAAAUUCACUUUCUAAACAUGAGGUUUUUGGACCUAUAGUCCAAACCCCUAAAUAUGUAAAGCUGGUAAGAUAUAAAUGGAUAUUUGUACGAAAAAUUAAUGAGAAAAAUGAAGUCGUAACAUAUAAAUCACGACUUAUAGCACAAGGAUUUUUGCAAAGACUCGACAUUGAUUAUGAAGAGACAUAUUCUCCUGUGGUGGAUGCAAUCACGUUUAGAUACCUUAUUAGUCUAGCAGUAUGUGAAAAAUUUGACAUACAUCUAAAGGAUAUCGUUACAACUUAUUUGUAUGGCACACUUGAUAGUGAAAUUUAUAUGAAAAUCCUAGAAGGAUUUAAAAUCCCUGAAGGAUAUAGAGUUUCCCGGGAAAAUUGCUUAAUCAGAUUAAAAAAAGUUUAUAUGGAUUAAAAUAAUCUGGACGUAUGUGGUACAAUCCUCUUAGUGAAUAUUUGUUAAAAGAAGGUUAUAAAAAUGAUCCAAUCUGCCCAUGUGUUUUUAUAAAAAGGUCUGAAUCAAACUUUUUGAUAAUUGCUAUUUAUGUUGAUGAUCUAAAUAUUAUUGGAACUCUUGAGCUUCAAAAUGAAGUAAAUUAUUUAAAGAAAGAAUUUGAGAUGAAAGAUCUUGGAAUAGCAAAAUUUUGUCUUGGCCUGCAAAUCGAGCAUUUAAAAAGAUGCAAUUCAUGUCCAUCAGUCAACUUAUACAAAAAAGAUCUUAAAAAAUUUUAUAUGGAUAAAGCACAUCAAUUGAGUACCCCAAUGGUUGUACGAUUGUUAGAUGUAAAUAAAGAUAAAUUUUGUCCUUGUGAGAAUGAUGAAUAGUUUCUUGGUCCUAAUGUACCAUAUCUAAGUGUCAUAGGAGCAUUGAUGUAUCUUGCAAACAACACAAGACCUGAUAUAGCUUUUGCUGUAAACUUGUUAGUAAGAUUUAGUUCUUCUCCAACACGUAGACAUUGGAAUGGAAUUAAACAUGUAUUUAGAUAUCUUAGAGGGACCAUUGAUAAGGGGAUAUUUUAUUCAAAUGAUUCAAAAUCCCUAUUAGUUGGUUAUGCUGAUGCUGGAUAUUUAUUAGAUCCACAUAAAGGUCGAUCUCAAACGGGAUAUUUAUUUACAUGUGGAGGUACUGCCAUAUCAUGGCGUUCGACAAAGCAAACAUUACCUGCUGCCUCUUCAAAUCAUGCUGAAAUAAUUGCAAUGCAUGAGGCAAGUCGAGAGUGUGUUUAACUAAGGUUAUUAACCCAACAUAUCUAGAAGAUAUAAUUUUCCUUUUACAGGAAAAUAUGCCAACUAUCUUAUAUGAAAAUAAUGCAGCAUGUAUAGCUCAAUUAAAGGGUGGCUAUAUCAAAGGUGACAGAACGAAACACAUUUCACCAAAAUUAUUCUUCACUCAUGAUCUUGAGAAGAAGUGUGACAUAGAAGUUCAACAAAUUCAUUUCAGUGAUAAUUUAGCGGAUCUUUUUACCAAGGCAUUGCCAACUUCAACAUUUGAAAGACUAUGAAACAAGAUUGAAAUGCGUCGACUCAAAGAUAUAAUGCGAUGUCGUCAUUAGGGGAGUCUAAAACAUGUUGUACUCUUUUCCUUUAACCAAGGUUUUGUCCCACUAGGUUUUCCUGAUAAAGGUUUUUAACAAGGUAACUUGUAAUAAGAGAUUGUGUACUAUUUUUCCUUCAGUAGAUUUUUACCCCACAUGGUUUUUCCUAAUAAAGGUUUUAAUGAGGCACUGUUUUCUCUAGUGGACAUCCAAGAAGGAGUGUUAUAAAUAAAUGUGAAUGUCCAUAUUCUAACACCCCAUCAUUUAUGAGGUAAAACCUCCCCUUCAUUAUGCAAUGUUUAAUAUAUGCAUUAAUGAAGCACUUAAGUAAGCUUCAUUUAUGGUAUUGCAUUGAAUGUUAAUUACUUAUAAAUUAUAAAUAGAAUCCUUACCUGAGUGAAAUAAAAAAAAAAGAAAAAAAUUCUAUUUUCAUUCACUUUUAUUUAUUGUUUUAUCGUUUUCUUAUAACAAUAUAAUGGUAUUUUCAUCUUUUACUAUUUCUAUAUUAAAUGUUUACAUAAAUGAACUAAAGAUACUGUAUUUAAGAUUUAAACCUAAUUUUUGGAAAAGUAUUCAUUUUGCCUAAAACUCAAUUGUUGCUUAUUUUUCUUUUGGUUUUUUAAAAAUAUAAUUUUAAUAUUAAAAUUUAUUUUCACCCACAUCUAUAAAAUUUAAUUAUUGGUUCUUACUUGGAUGUAUUUUUGUUGAUUAGAAAAUGAGAAGUCGGAAAAUUUUUAAAAUUGGAAAAUUUUUGGAUACACCGAAAUGUAUUAUUGCCGCCAUAGUUCCAAAAAACCAUCCAGAACCUAAGCAAAAGUUAAAUUGAAUCUUGUGCCUGUUAAAUUAGAUUGUUUUUACAUUUCUAUUAAUUAAAAUUAAUGAAUUAAAAAAUAUUAUUGUUUUUUAAUAUUAAUCUUAGUAUAGAUUGUUAUCAUAUUUGUAUUUUUUUAUACAAUACCUAAAACUAUCCAUAAUCUCUCAUCAACCCUUAAAUAGGAGGAUAAUGCACUUCAACAUACUCGAACUCAUGUCCUUCUACACUAACAAUAAUAUUGAUGUAAGAAUUGUCAAAUUACAUCUACGAUAAUAUAUAUAUCAUUUACUUUGAGAAUGAAAAUCAUCUUUACAAAUUUGCCCUUUAAAAAAAUAUAAGUCAUGAGAAAAAUGUUAACUUUGUUUCCCCUCUCUUUUUAAUACUUUAAACAAUCAUUGUAUCAACAAUGGUAUUAUUUAUAAAGAAUUUGUUCUAGAUCUAUUUAAUCCUGAUAAAACAUAUCUACUCUUAUAUCUACUAAAGUUAGUGUUGGGAAGAGAAAGAGACAAUCCACAUCGACUAACUAAUAAUUAAAUUGUGACACAUAAGAACAUUUUCAAAAAAAAAAUUAUUUUUAAAAAUGAUUUUUUGUAAAUCAAACCAUUCUUUAACAAAGAAGGUUUACAACUAAUACAACACAAUUGUGUCUAAUACGUUACUUAAGUGCCCUCUACUUGAAUUCAUUUUAAUAUUAUUAUUUGACUAUACAAUUAAAACCCAUAUGAAGUCAAUUGCGUUUUAACUCGAUUGGUAUGAGCAUUGUUGUCAAAACAAGAGGACGUGGGUUAGAUUGCGCUGAAGUAUAUUAUCCUCUUAUUUAUGAAUUGAGGAGGGAAUAUGAAUAGUUUUAAGUAUUGUAUCAAGAAAAUAGAUAUAAGAUAUUUCAAAAAAGAAAAAAAAUCACCUGAAAAUCUUAAAAAAAAAUUACAAAUUACUCGUAAAAGGAUGCACGCAAAAUAGCCCAUUAUUUGGGCAAGACAAAAUAGCCCAAAUUAAAGCCCAUAAAAACGUAAAAAAAUCCAAAGCUAAGGCCCUAAUGUAACCAAGCAUGUGGCUACCAAUCAGUUCCAAACAUGUGGUCGCCGCUCAAUCUUAAUCACACGUCACAAACUUCUAUGUAAUCCUCCAAACGCCAAGGGUUAAUUCCAUCAAAUAUCCUCAAACUAUUGCUCAAAAUCUAAAUUGAUCUUUAAAUUUCAAAAUAUUCUAAUUGAGUCUUUAAAGGAUAAGUAUUGUAUAAUCAAAGCUUUUUUUUAGCCUAACCAUUAAUUAAAUACUAAUUCAGCUUCGACAUAGAGUAUCUUAAAACAUAUGGAUCGAAUUGAAAAAUUAUGUACCUAUCACAUUUAAUCAAAAUUGUCAAUGCAUUGGAUGCACACAUGUUAAUAAAAUUUAAGAAGACUAUGCAUUUAUUUUUAAAAUUAUCAAAUAAAAAUUUUCUAAAUAUAUUUAUAAUUUGAUUUACCUAUUUUAAAUAUGAUAUAGUCAUAUUCAUAUUGGAAUUUAAUGCCAAAAUUGAUGUGUAUAUUAACUAAAAGACAUGAUUGUUAUAAUAUUAAUACUUCAAGAUCACAAAUAAAGGAUUUUAAAAUUCAAGGACAAAUUUAAAAUUUAGAUAGUAAUUUAAGGACGUUUGGUGCAGUUAAUCCCCUAAUCUUUGUCCCUUUUGCUCCUGAUGAAACGAAGACUCAAUGAUUUUUCUCUAAUCCAACGGCUCAAAUUCUCCCAUAAUAAUAUCUUUCGCUAAUGCUCUAUUAUCGUGUCUCUAUCUCUACGACUUUUUGCAGAUAAAAACGCUAACUAAAACGAACAUAUAAAUCAUCCUAUUUUUAAUUUAUAUUUUGAAAAAAAGAUUAUUCCUGAUUUUUUUAGGUUUCCGGCAAUGUUAUCUACUGAAUUUCUACGACCGGCGACGAUAACAUUCCACGGUAAAUUCAGCACAAAUUCUUACUCUAAUCUUCUUUAUCUACAUGGAUUAAACUUCAAAGCCAUUCGGUUUAGGGUUUUGCAACAAAAAACGAACCGUUUCUUCCCCAAUUCUAUCACUUCCACCCUAAAGAACGUCGCCGUUGUGGGAAACCACGAGAGAUUAAAUCUUUACGGAAGAGGUAAAUUAAGGUUCAAAGAGAGCAAAAUUUUGGCUAAUUGUACGGACAGCAGCGAUUCGAAGGCGAGCUCCGGCGAGAAAAAUGAAAGCGAAGGUGGGCAAGGAGUGACGCAGAAACAGAGUCCGUCAAAUUCGGGGGGUUCGACUAAUCAGAGAGGAGAAAAGGGUGGAAGAAGCGGGUUGUGGAGGUCCAAAGGAAAGAAAUGGCAGUGGCAACCGAUAGUUCAAGCUCAAGAAAUUGGUGUUUUGCUUUUACAGUUGGGUGUUGUUAUGUUCGUUAUGCGACUGCUCCGACCCGGGAUUCCGUUGCCCGGGUCCGAGCCUAGGAUCCCGACGACUUUUGUCAGCGUUCCUUACAGCGAGUUUUUGAAUAAGAUUAAUAGUAAUCAGGUUCAAAAGGUGGAGGUUGAUGGAGUUCAUGUAAUGUUCAAACUGAAGAACGAAGGGAGCGUUCAAGAGAGUGAAAUUGGUAAGUUUCAGGAGUCGGAGUCCUUGUUGAGGAGUGUGGCGCCUACAAAGCGAAUUGUAUAUACAACAACUCGGCCUAGUGAUAUUAAGACUCCAUAUGAGAAGAUGCUGGAAAACGAUGUGGAGUUCGGGUCUCCCGAUAAGCCAUCUGGUGGAUUCUUCAACUCUGCAUUGGUAAGUUGUGUUUUUUGUUUGUUGUCAUGAUUUGAAUGAAACUAGAUUAAUUGCUUCUUUUUAAAAAAAAAAAAAAAGAAGAAGCUUUUGUUAGAGUUCUUAAUGAGUUAACCAGUUGAAUGGUAAUGGUUUUGUUGGGGGUAGCAGUUUUUUUGUGGUAGGCUGCCUGAUUGAAGUAUGUAAUCUAGGAGAGGAGAGGAUCUUCUCUUGCCUUCUUUGGACUAGGAAUCUCAAAGAGUGAUCUGAUGGGCCCUCUAUUAUUGGGUAAUCUAUUUCCUCUUCAGGUGGCAGGAAUGUAGAGGUUGUAGUUGGUGGACUAUGAUUGGUUAUAAUUUGGGACAAGAAUACCUUCAGUUACUCCGUUCACUUGGUUCUUUCUAAAUCAUGUGUUUGUAUACGUCUGUGGAUUUUUGAUUUGACUUCCUCUCUUUUGCAGAUAGCUUUGUUCUAUGUUGCUGUUCUUGCGGGACUUCUCCAUCGGUUCCCUGUGAAUUUUUCUCAGGUUUGAAUUUGCUUGUAAGCUCUUUGAGUACAUUAAUGUUUUUGUAGUACUGAUAGUUCUGAUUUGAAUCAUGCAUAUAUGCAGCAUACAGCUGGUCAGAUUAGGAAUCGCAAGACAAGGAGUUCUGGGGGUUCAAAAGCCUCUGAACAAGGUGAAACAAUAACUUUCGCUGAUGUGGCUGGUGUUGAUGAGGCAAAGGAGGAACUUGAAGAAAUUGUGGUAUUUUAAAUAUUAUUCCACUUAAUAUGCUACCAGUAAUUGAUAUUUGCAGUGAAUGCUCCCUUGAAGUUCUAGUAUUGUCUUUAUAUUCUUAUGUUUACUGCCCAGGAAUUUCUUAGGAAUCCAGACAGGUAUAUACGGCUUGGUGCUCGUCCUCCACGAGGAGUUCUCCUGGUGAGUUGAUACUAGGGACAUUAAGCAUGAUGGGCUUUCUGAAAAAAUUAGCUGAAACUAUAUUUGAUGCUGUUGAAGAAGCUUUUGGUCUAAGAAGUCAGGGCCUAUGUGAAAAACUUCAUUAAUAUCUGAAAAUUCUGGCAUUAAGUUUGCUACUUCUGUCUCUUACUCUUAGAAUAUCUUCAUCAAAAGCUUUUGGUCCUCUAAAGCUUUCUACUUGUCAUUCUUGUCAAGAUAAGUUCACAAAGUUUCAGAUGGAAUUCAGCGUGUUCACUGUCUCCACUUAGUUCUCAGAUGCUAGUGUUAUAUGAUGGUUUCCUUGCAUGGUUACCUCUUUUCUGAAAACUAUAGUCAGUAUUUAUGAUUUUAUUUGUGAUGCAGGUGGGUCUUCCUGGGACAGGCAAGACUCUUCUAGCAAAAGCUGUGGCUGGUGAGGCCGAAGUUCCAUUCAUAAGUUGUUCUGCAAGUGAGUUUGUAGAGUUGUAUGUUGGCAUGGGUGCAUCACGAGUUAGAGAUCUCUUUGCACGAGCUAAGAAGGAGGCACCAUCAAUAAUUUUUAUUGAUGAGGUCAGCCUGUGAGCAUUAUAAUUUUGUUGGAACAAUAUGUUUAACCUCUUUUUUGUACAGUAGAGUUUUGUAACACCUUUCCUUGCACACAGAUAGAUGCCGUGGCUAAAAGUCGCGAUGGUAAAUUUCGCAUUGUUAGCAAUGACGAACGGGAGCAAACUUUGAACCAAUUACUCACUGUAACGUUCCCUGCAUCAUAGUUUUUCUGCUCAUGUGGACCUCUUGGCCGUUCCCCUUUGAAGCUAACAUUUCUGAACUACAUUGCAGGAGAUGGAUGGAUUUGACAGCAAUUCCGCUGUGAUUGUUCUUGGAGCUACAAACCGUUCUGAUGUCUUGGAUCCUGCCCUUCGUCGACCAGGGAGAUUUGAUCGUAUUGUUAUGGUUUGUAUCAUGCACUAUAUUUCAAUUGAACUUGCAGAAUGUUGGAAUCUGCCAUAUCAACCAGUUCCUUUUUGCUUAACUCGUAUCUCAUGGAGAUUAUGUCUGGAAUGGUUUCCAGGUAGAGACUCCUGACAGGAUUGGAAGAGAAGCUAUUAUAAAAGUGCAUGCCUCCAAGAAGGAACUUCCCCUUGGAGAUGAUGUUGAUCUUGGUGACAUUGCCUCUAUGACUACUGGUUUUACUGGGUAUUUUCUCAUUUACAUUGUCAUAUUUAAGUACACUGCUUCCCAAUCUCCUCUUCAGCUUCCUUUCCUCUUCAUAAAUUUCUACUUGUUGAUGAUGUGGGGAUGACUUAACGAAUUUUCUUUUUUUCAUUUCGCAGGGCUGAUCUUGCAAAUCUGGUAAAUGAAGCAGCCUUACUCGCUGGAAGAAAUAAUAAAGUUGUUGUAGAGAGGAUUGAUUUCAUUCAGGCAGUAGAACGAUCAAUAGCUGUAAGUCUCUCUCUCUUUGAUCAUUGUUUUGUUUAUUUGUUACAGUUUUCUAUUGUGACUCCUUAUAUUACAUCCAUUGGUUUCAGCUGUUUCCAUCUCCAAUGUUUUUAAACAUUUUUCUUCACAUUUUCCCUUGCCUUGAAAGUUAAUUUUAAUUAUUACUCCCAUAGCCAAUGAUGCUAUGCAAUCUUCUCAGUCUAGUUAUUGGCUUUGAUUCUUGGUUUUACUUUGUACCAUUCAUGUUUUGAAUUACUUUAUCACAAAACACAGAUAUUUGAGGGCAAAAAAAAAAAAAAAUGGAGUUUUUGUGCAAUCCUUUUAUAUUGCUUUUUGCACUUUCUAAUGAGACUAUCCUUAGGGAUAAAGGAUAUUCUCCAAUCUACUGUGAUUUACAUAGUUCCUCUUAGACAUUUGUCUCACAAGAUGUGUAAUUUUACUAAAGAAUUAUGAGAAAAUACUAAACUGAAAUUGAGUGACGAAAAGAAUGAUAUUUCAUAGGGCAUAGAGAAGAAAACUGCCAAAUUGAAGGGAUGUGAGAAGGCUGUGGUUGCAAGGCAUGAAGCUGGCCAUGCAGUAGUAGGUACAGCUGUUGCAAACCUUCUUCAUGGACAGCCACGUGUUGAGGUAAACAAUGGCAAUAAUUUACUUAAUCUCUCUCUCUCUCUUUUUUUUUUCUUUGUUUGUUCUUGUUAACUCAAUUUGAAAUUUGAAAAUGAUAAAAGAAAAUAUAUGAAAUUUGAAUGGAAAGUUCUGAGCUUGUGCUGUGUAGUUUAGGAGUGUGUACUGUUCACGUCAUGUACCAGAGACGGUCCCAGGGCAAUAAUUUCUAUCUUCCUUGUUAAGAAGAUAAUUGGCUUCUUAGCCAUUGACCUUCCUAAUUGUUUGUUUCUCUUUUGGUACUUGGGAGUUGGGAGGUCUGACAAGACCUAGAGUACAACGCUGACCUCAUAAACAGUAGUAUAUUUUCAAAUUUUCAAGCAACAUUUUGAAAAUUAGAAUGAAAUUGGAGAAUUAGAUUUCUUUACUUGUUAUACAAAAUUUUUAAUCUUGUUUGGUACAAGUGGGAGGUCCACUUGAUCUUUGGUUAUACAUGGAAUUAAGAACAAUAAUGUUUAACUUAUUAAGGUUGGGUUGUUCAAUAGUUGUCACAAUGGGCUUAAAUUAUCCCUGCGGCUUUGUUCACAUGAAAUGGAUAAUAUGGUAACUAGUCAACUCUUUUUGUCUGCAGAAACUGAGCAUACUGCCCAGAUCUGGAGGAGCAUUGGGCUUUACUUAUAUUCCUCCUACCAAUGAGGAUAGAUAUUUACUCUUCAUUGAUGAGUUACGUGGCCGUUUGGUUACUCUUCUUGGUGGACGUGCUGCAGAGGAAGUUAUCUAUUCAGGUCGUGUUUCUACUGGUGCACUUGAUGAUAUUAGGCGGGCGACAGACAUGGCAUUCAAGGCAGUAGCUGAAUAUGGUCUUAAUCAGACUAUAGGGCCUCUCUCUUUAGCUACGGUUUCUGGUGGAGGCAUGGAUGAAUCCGGGGGUGGAGUUCCUUGGGGACGAGAUCAGGUCCCUUUUUUAUACUCUUUUUCAUUAAAGUUCAGUUGAUCUUUUUUGUUUCCAAUUCCUACAGUGUCUGUAAUGAAGACUGAUCCAAAACGGAACUUGCAGGGACAUCUAGUUGAUCUUGUCCAAGGAGAGGUGAAGGCAUUACUGCAGUCUGCCCAUGAAGUAGCCCUUUCUGUUGUACGUGCUAAUCCAACUGUUUUGGAAGGGCUUGGUGCUCACCUGGAAGGUAAUCUGUUUUUGCUACCUGUUUUGUAUGUCAAAAUUCCUGAUCAUCCAAUUCGUUUUUUCAUUCUUUGCUAUAAGUUAUGAACUCGAGGUGUUUUUCAGAAAAUAAAAUCUAAUGGAAACUUACAAGGGAUCUAAUAGGUAGAUGAUUCCGAUAGCCGACUUUCCCUACUUGUUUGCUGUUUGAUGAAAUAUGUAUUGCUAUUUUGACAAUUUCCCUGAUGAACUCUUCAGUUCUACUUGUCAGUUCUUUAAUGCUAUUCACCAUUGUUUUGUUUAAAUUAUCUUAGUACUGAUGUAGUUUAUAUCCUAGUGUAGAUAACAUUCACACUCUUCAAACGGUUUAAUUUUUGUUGUGAAGUCAAUAUUCUGCAUCUUUAAAAAGGGGAAAGGAGAUCACUCUUUACUUCAUACUAUGGUCUAAUGCUUCGCUUUAUUCAGAAAAUGAGAAAGUAGAAGGUGAAGAGCUACAAAAAUGGUUGAAAUUGGUUGUUGCACCAAAGGAACUAAUCAUCUUCGUUGAAGGCAAGCAAGAGUCUCUUCUGCCGGUUCAAGCGGGCUCUGGAUAAGUGUUUUGCUCAUUGCUUGUCAACAUUGAGCAUUGCAUUGAACCAACCGACUAUAUCUUUCUUUGCACCUUGUCAAUGACCAUGCUGUGGCUACCGGCAUCAAAGCUCCCUUGCGCUUUUUUUUUUUCAUAUUUCAGCAAGGUGAGUCCUGGCUUAAGUAUUAACACUACGAAGUCUUCUCAUUAUUUUAUUCUCACUACACUUACCAGAGGAAACAUAGAGAAGGAAAUGGUGAAGCUGAAUAUUUAUUUCCCGAAAAAUCCUUCAAGCUUGUCUUCCCGUUCUUGAUAUUAUGGUGAUAAGUUCAGGUUGGUCUCCGUCUGUUCUGUUGUACAUUGGCUAUUAUUUUUAUCAGUCAUAACGGGUGGAGUUUUAACAGUAAUUGAGUUGUACACAUAAUUAUUAUGUGAAAUAUAAUAUAAGAUUAUUGCACAUAAUAAUGUUGGGUUAAAAAUGUGUCUUCAGAAGAACAUUGUACAUAUAGUAUGCUGUAGAAAAUACAUGCUGUUAAUAAUAGUUUCCCAAAAUGGAACUAAACAUUAUUUUUGAGCAUUGACAUGAAACCAGAAGUGUAAUUUCCUUCGUCCGAGAACAUGACACAUCAAAUAAAAAUAUAAAAACAGUACAAUUAACAAAAACUAAUAUGAUAUGCCCAACCCUCAUGUUUUGUAUUUAGGAUUUUGAUACAUUUAAUAAUUUAUCUUAUAUUAUAUCUGUCAAUUCAGCAGGUCAGGUUGGUUUUGGGUAUUGUUAAAUUAUCAAAUCAUUUUGGUUUGGUCUAAUUUAGAGUUCAAGUGAUUUCAGGUUUGAUUCUUUCAAGUUUGGGUUAUUUUAGUUCAUGUUGGUUCUUUUGGGUUAAUUGUUCGGACCAUUUUGAGUUGCGAUUGUUUUGGUUUGUUGCCUUUUAGUGUUAAAUCAGGUUAAAUCGGUGUGAAUCAAAAUUAAAAAUCUAUUUAUGUUUAUCCAAAUGUUCUUAAUUGAUUUAUUUUAGAUUUUUACAUAGGAAAGCAUUAGGGAGUAUAAGAUUAUGUUUGAUAAUUGAAAAGUUUUAUAAAAUAUGUUAAAAUUAAAUAUUUAAUAUAAUUAAAUUGUUUAAUAAAACAAUUAAAUUUAUUCUCUAUUUAAGUCUGUCUAAUUAUUUGCAUUCUGAGUUAAAAUAUUGAAAAUAUUAAUAUCCAGUUAAUUGAAUCUUUUAAACGCAUUUUAAAACAGAGCCUAAAUUAGACGUUUUACCAACUGAAAGCAAAAGCCAUCUAAUUAAGGGUGGGGUUUCAGUAUUUUUGACUUUUGCAUUUUAAAGUAUAAAUUAUCAAAAUAUCUUGUUUUUUAUUAACUAUUUAAAAUGUAUAUAAAAUUUUGGAUUAAUUUAUAUUUCAUGUGUCAUCAUAUUAAAUCAUUUAAAUAUGAUUUUAUUAUUAUAUUUAAAAUUUUAAAUUAUUUCAUGUCUAAUUAAAUUUAAAAAUAAUUUAUUAAUUAUUAAAAAAUAUUUUAUGUAUAAUUAUGUUAAAUUAUUUAAAUAAUAUCUAAUUUAAUUUAAUUUUUAAAUUUUCAACACUAGACAUUUUAAUUUUUCAUUUUAAAUUUUAACUUAAAAUUAAAACCGUCCUUUUUAAAUUGAACUUUUCACAAACAUAUCUUAGCAAUAGGCGAAGCUGGCCCUACAUCAUGAGGAGUUGAGAAGAAUGAAGGGUGAUGAGUCCGUUGAGGUUUGAUAUUUUGGCCCUCAAAAAUAUCAGUGUUGCUUUCAGAUCACAAUUUCGUUCUUUUGUCCGCAUCCUCGGGAAACAAACAAAGAAGUCCACUCGACCUGUUUACCUUUUCUCUCAUUUGGACCACAGUUCAAGCAACAGGUGGCCCAAUGUCAUCCUUUAAUUCCCAAUCCUUGUAUUCAACAAUAAAAUAUUUAAUUCAAGAUUAACGUAAAAUAGUACGAGUAGGGAUUGAGGUCUUUUACAAACAUUCCAAUGAAUUGAAUUUUAAAUUUUAAAUGUUUGGUUUAAUUUGAGGAAAAUCUUAUUUAAUUUAUAUACAUAUUAUAUACAUAAAAAAAUAGUCAGUACAAUUUUAGAUAUAAAAAUAAAAAAAAAUUAGUAAAAUCUUUCGUAAAAAAAUAAAACAUCUUCAAAAUAAAUAAUUUUUUUUCCUUUUCUUUACUAAAAAUAAGAUACGGAAAUGAUUAAAUCUUACCAAAUAAAUUAGUUUAUUACUCACUUGUAAACAUGCAGGACAAAUAAUACUCCUACCAAAUGUAGCUAAAGUGUUUUAUUUGAAUUCUCAAAGUAUCAAAUAUUGUAUCAAUUAUGCUUUUUCAUCAGUCUAAUAUUAAAUUUGGAUGUUAAAUGUUAACUCGAAUUUAAUAUGAAGAAUAUUUAAAACAUAUAGAUCAAAAUUUAAACAUGCGUAUACCAAAUGCAUUAACAAUAAAUUUGAUGCGUUAAAAAAAUAUCAUUAUUAAAAUUUAAGAAAAUUACAUUUUUUUCUUUUAGUACAUUAUAUCUAAUCUGUUUAUAUGAUAAACAUACAUGUAUUUAGAAUUUGACAUAUUUGUUUUAAAUAUGAUUCUCGUCAAAUUUGAGUUAACAUUUAUAUCUAUGUUGACAAUUAGGUUGAUGGAAGGAAGCAAUUGAUAUGAUAUCGAUGCUUUGAAAAUUAAAUUAGAAUGAUAUAAAGUUUGAGGAUUAAUUUAAAAUAUAAGUUAUAGUUUAGGGACAUAUAAUGAAAUUAACUCUAAAAAUGUAUAUAGAAAAUAUCUAAUAAAUGCACCACGUAAGCAUGCGCUUUUUCAUUAUUUUUGAGAGGGGAAAAAAAUGUUUCUGUCACUCUUUUACCAAUAUAAAUGGAAGAAGGCUGUGCAGGACGAGUGCUCAGUUAUUAUUCGAGAGCUCUCUCACUCUCCACUUUAGAGACGCUUAAUAGGGAUAAGAUCUUCCAGGUUCCUCCUCUUUUUUCACUCUUUUUUUUUUUAAUUUCUUUUGUUUGUUUGGCUGGUGAGAAAAUUAAAUUAAAUCUAAAUAAAUAGCACAUUUUCUUUUUAUUCUCCUUUUUUUUCUAGAUCACUGCAUGCUGGUUUAAUUCAAACAUAGGCUUGUAAUUUUACGUGUUUUUCUUUCUUUCUUUUUAUUUGUACUGCCCUGUUAUAUCAGAUACACUGAACCACUAAGGAAGCUGUUGUUUUUUCUUCUUAAUUUUGGUAACGUUUUCUGCGAUUAUAGUAAGUUAAUUAUUUAUAAGUGAUAAUGGUGAGUUAUAAAUCAGCGGUUGGAUUUGUAUGAGAAGUCUUCUUAAAUCUUAAUGGAUAUGCUCUAUGCUUAUUAAUCUUGAAUGCCUUUCUAUUUUAGUUCUGAAGAAAUUCAAAUUUUGACCUAUACGAAAAGUAAUGUUUACUUGUGCAAAAUAUCCAAGAUUAUGCAUUUUCUUUAGCAUUUUAUAUGAAUACACAGCACACUGAACCAGGAGACAUAUAUAUUGCAUAUAUAUUGUAGAUCGAGGGUUUUCACUGAAAUGCAUAGAACUAUGUAAUCACAUUUACGUCCAUCGUGGUGUCCUUUAGAUUAUUAUUUAUUAGAAACUAGACUAGAAUUCUUCUGUUUAUCUGAUGAAAACUUUAUGAAGUUGGAAAUACUAGAGUAUAGACCUUCUGUCCUUGCUGGUAAUGCUGAUUAACGCGGCAUUUUUUCUUUUUCAUUCUAGAUUUAUCUUUUAUGCCAUUAGUUAAUUUAUUUGUAUAUUUAAUGUAUACAAAUUUGUUAUUUUUAUUCUCAAGAGUAGGCAACGAUAAUUGCUUUUUUUCUAAUCAAAUUCGACCUUCACGUCCUGCAUUUAUCAAUUAUGUUUGUUCUCGAUGUUUUAUGUAUAGUUAAUCAUUUGAUGAUUGUGUGGUGAUGAUUUAUUGAUAACUCACGACAUGCUUGGUCAAUCCAGAUAUGGCAUCGGUGCAUGCUAGCUUCACAUCAGUUGUAUGCAAGAAUGGCAACCAUUCUGCUCCUUCAUGGUUUCCUUGUACGACCUUCUUACCCGGCUUUGAUGUGGUUGGCCGUGUUUCAAAUGCUUGUAAGAAGGAAAUAUGCCCUUCUAUGAGUUCAGGUCCUAAAGCCACAUUAACUUUUGAUCCUCCAACAACCAAUUCAGAGAAAAGCAAACAGAAGAAGCAUACCAUAAAUCCUGCUUCCCCUGAUUUUAUGCCACUUCCAUCAUUUGAAGAAUGUUUCCCAAAGAGCUCAAAAGAAUGCAGGUUAAUUUAGUUAUAUAUAUGCAAUUUGUUGGUUCUGUUUUCUUUCCCUUUUGCUUGAAAACACUUUUUAUGCGUGAUGAACCUUUCAGGGAGGUUAUUCAUGAAGAAUCUGGCCAUGUACUCAAGGUUCCCUUUCGAAGGGUUCAUUUGACUGGAGAUGUGCCAAACUUCGACACAUAUGACACCAGUGGUCCUCAAAACAUCAAUCCACGCAUUGGUAGGAUGCUCAACCUUGCUCUCAGCUUCUUGCUCCUUUUUGAAGGACAUUAGCUUUUCUUCACUUUGUUUUGCUUAGCCAACUCCCCUCUUAUAUGUUCUUGAUAAAUCUUUGAUUGUUUGUUUGGGUCUUUACUCCACUAUGAUUAUUUUAUGUUCCUUUCAUAUAUUGGAUCUCUUGAUAUUGUUAUAGUUUUAUGGUCAAGUUAAAUGCUAAGUUUUGUACUUGACAUCUUUAAACAGGACUCCCUAAAUUGCGCAAGGGCUGGGUUGACAGACGGGAAAAACUGGGUGCACCUAGAUACACUCAGAUGUACUAUGCUAAGCAGGGAAUCAUUACUGAGGAAAUGUUAUAUUGUGCUACUCGUGAGAAGCUUGACCCAGAAUUUGUUAGGUCAGAGGUUGCCCGUGGGAGGGCGAUCAUUCCUUCCAACAAAAAGCACUUAGAGCUGGAACCAAUGAUAGUUGGACGAAACUUUUUGGUCAAAGUAAAUGCAAAUAUUGGAAACUCAGCCGUUGCAAGUUCAAUUGAGGAGGAAGUUUACAAGGUCCAAUGGGCAACAAUGUGGGGUGCUGAUACUGUUAUGGAUCUCUCAACUGGGCGCCACAUUCAUGAAACCCGUGAAUGGAUCCUACGUAACUCUGCUGUGCCUGUUGGGACCGUGCCAAUCUAUCAAGCACUUGAAAAAGUCAAUGGAAUUGCUGAAGAUCUUUGUUGGGAAGUCUUCAGGGACACCCUGAUUGAGCAAGCUGAGCAGGGUGUAGAUUACUUCACAAUCCAUGCUGGGGUACUGCUGCGGUACAUUCCCUUAACAGCAAAACGGAUGACAGGAAUAGUUUCUCGAGGAGGAUCUAUUCAUGCAAAAUGGUGCCUGGCGUACCAUAAGGAGAAUUUUGCUUAUGAGCAUUGGGAUGACAUACUUGAUAUCUGCAACCAAUAUGAUGUGGCGCUUUCAAUCGGGGAUGGACUAAGACCUGGAUCCAUAUAUGAUGCCAAUGACACUGCACAGUUUGCUGAGCUUUUAACCCAAGGGGAACUGACUCGUAGGGCUUGGGAAAAGGAUGUACAGGUAUCUCAAUGCACCUUGGAAGUGCUCCUUUAGCAUUCUGUUCAUAAAAUGUUUCUAAAGUACUGCUCAAUUUGAAGCGUAUUACUGGCUUUACAUGGUUUUGAUUAUCUUAUAACUUUAACAUGAUUUUUUUUUUGGUGCUUUUCAGGUAAUGAAUGAAGGACCUGGACACAUCCCAAUGCACAAAAUUCCAGAAAAUAUGCAAAAGCAGCUUGAGUGGUGCAAUGAAGCACCUUUCUAUACCCUUGGUCCUUUGACAACUGAUAUUGCUCCUGGAUACGAUCAUAUCACUUCUGCAAUUGGUGCAGCCAAUAUUGGGGCUCUUGGCACAGCACUUCUGUGUUAUGUAACUCCAAAGGAGCACCUUGGGU
rnacentral:lncRNA from 1 species